UUUACUAUCAGUUACUGUUAUCUAUCUGUUUGUCUCUCAUGUUUCACUGUAUUUGUGGGAAACUAACUACUAAUGGAGGUAUGUUGGAAUAUGUAUAAACUUCAGUUCUGCUAAAUUCUAUUGUUCACACACAGUUUUUUCUUCUUUAAAGUUCAGGAAUCAAAAUGUCCUUUUCUUUUCUUUUUUUGGCUUAAAUAAAGUUAAUUAUUUUUUUUUUCGUUGUGAUGCUCAUGAUGAGGAUUUUCAACUACAUAUUGGUCUUUUAUAUGUCACAUCUUGAUCAUACGAAAUCUAAGAAUGAAGCAUACGUGUUACUUUCAUUUAUAGAUGUAUAAAUUAUGUUGAUUAUUGUGAUAUGAAAAUCACAUACUGUUAUGAUCUCUCAUUUCUAAUGAUGUAUCCAUUUCAAUUCAAUAUAGCAUUUUCCCCUGAUACGAGUCAUUCUGUUCUGCAGCACGUUUUCACCUUUUUCCCAUGAAUCCCAUGAUCGUGGUACCUUGUGUUGAAAGGUCAGUGUGUUCUUCGAUUUUAAAUCAAUGAACUGAUAAGUUAAAUUUAAUGUACUUUCAGAGAAGACUUUCAAACAGUGGAAAAUUACAUACAUUGUAUUAUGAGUGUUGUUUGAAAUAUUUCGAUUGGUAGUAUGCCUUAUGGAUUUUGUUUGAGGUUUGUGUUAUUGGUGGAUUUCAAUUAAACCUCACAUGAACACCAUUAUAUUCGAUGUUAAUCGCAAUUAGUAAGCAAUGAGCCCUCUUCUCAUCGCAAUAAUUGUAUCAUUGUAUGUUCUCAUGGCUCACAUUAGCUGAUUUUGCAUGGGAUGUGAAUGUCUUUGGGUUUUCAUGCUCUAUCAAUUAUUCUCAAACUGACCCUCCAAUAAUGAUUUCGGAUUUUUGUUAUCAUUUUUCUUUCCUCCUACUCCACGCACAUAGUUUUUUUUUUUUUUUUGUUAAACAAUUUUCUUCAGUUCCCAGAGACGAAUACUCAUGGAAAUAUUGUUCCACUCAUGGCAAUAAAAUUUGAUGCGGACCCAAUAGUGUUUCUAAGAUUUAUUAGGGCCCACGAGAUUCUGAAUGGACGGUCCAGGUGAGAUCCAUGGGCCCAAUAAUGUGGAAGAGUUUUCUUGAAUUGAGUCAUUCGUUCAGAAAUCAGAAUUCCCUUUGUUUUCUAAUGAAUAAUAUUGAUUGAACAUUUUGAACUGAGAGAGUUUUCUUUGGUGGUGAAGAUCGUAUUGGCUUAUACGGCUGCUGAGAAAUCAAAUAGAUUGGCUUUUUAGUUUUUUACUUAUAACGUUAAAGAGAAAAUCAAAUAUCAGUGUGUUUCUACUCGCCUACCUCUCUUCCCUAAUAAAUCCUUUUGAGGUCUAUAUGUACGUACAUCUUUGCUAAAUUGUGAAAAGAGAGUUAUGGCGCCUAUUCUAAUAUACUACCAUAGGCACUUAGGCAGCUUAGCGCUACCGAAACACACAGUCUCAGUCUGUCUUCUAAUUUCAAUCCUCCCGCCAGACUCCACAAACCAUUCCGGCCAGAUUACUCACAGUAAUCAUGUAAAUCCCUAUUCUAGAUGCGCAUAAUGAGACACUAUCAUCUCAAAUGCAUUUGUAAUGUAUAUGCUAGCUUCUACUGUUCAACCACAAUCCCCUUGCUUGGUAGAUACGGAGAUACCACAUCUGGAAGUCAUUAACUGCUGAUGAAUUCCAUUCAUCAUCUUUGGCUGCUAACAACUUCCGUGGAACACAGGUACGUUGAACUUUUGUUGUAUGUAUAUACAAGCUAAAAGCCUAAAACUGUUAUCUAUAAAAGCAUACGUACUGUCAACUUCCUAAGAGUCUAGUUUCCCUCCCUGCAUCAAGAUGUACAUUCCCUCUACUAGUCCUACUAGCACCAACAAAUUCUUCAAAAUUUCCCACCCAGCUUGGAAUAACAAAUAUUUGGACUGCAGUUAACCUCUUUUCAUCAGCUCUUGAAAAGCUUAUUCACAAAAAAAUUUACUUUUGUCAACAAUAUGACUGCAUCACCAACUAGGAUACUAGAAUCAUUAGGGCAAUGUCAAGAUCCUUAACAAUCCUCAAACAGUAGAAAACUACAAAUAAGGGUCCUCCUUCAGGCCCGCACGACUUUGUUGUUGCAAGAAAUUUUAAGCAUUGAACUAGAGACUAGACAGUGUGGAUCCACCCCCAUGUUUGCUUAGGACUGUGGGCUUAACUGUGUGUGCGGCCCGUGACCCAGUUGAGAGAGUGGCAAAGUCCACCUCCGUGUUUGGUUAGGCAUGUGCCUACCACUUUAUCCGGUUUUCCGGUUGAUAUACAUUAUUGUAGGGAUGUCAGAAUAUGACAGUACGUUCAUAGUUCCUCCUACUCUACCAGCUGCGAUACAUUACGAUGCUCCUUGGUAUACUUGAGGGAACAUCUACCUGCUCCUAUCCUUCAUUUUGUUUAUUUUGCUCUUCCCUCCUUCCACAUUCAGUCCACCCUUGAUGUGCUAGCUUUAAUUUGCUUGUUGGAGUUCCUUGUUUAAAUCCCACUUCUGUCCAUGUGUAGAGGGUCUUGGAAUACAGCUUCGGAUGUCAGCUCCAUCAGAUUUUAGAAUAUCUGUGUGGCUCUUUGACAUGUACUCAUGCCCAGAUUCAGGUUUAUGAGAUACAGUACUAGGUUUCUGCUUGGCUAUACAUCCCCAGACCCCCAUGGUCAAACAAACCCUCUGGGUAAACUGAUAGUACUAUAUUUCACAAAUCUCAUAUCAAGGCUAAGUAUUUCUACUGCAGAUUUAAACCCUUUAUGCAACAACAUGACAAUAUGACAUAGGCAUUUCGUAUAGUAGAAUUUGGAAACAUUAUUGUGACUCAUGAUCUUGUAACGGUCAACCUAACGCACCUUGCAGUUCGGAAUUGUAUAGUGGUUAACUGUGGCUAAGGUUAAUAUUUACGAAUAAGGCACUCCCAUCCAAAAGUCCUAUUCAUUGCACACUGGAGACUGGAGAGUGGAAUCAGAUAUCAACUCUGCUAAACCAAUCUCUAUCAAUUGGUUUGAAAACAUGAGUUGACUGUACGUGUUUCUGUUUCAUUUCUACAUCUGCAGGCGUACACGCAGGUCUUCCACUUUGUUCGUAAUUACUGUGGACUCCACAAUCCUGAAAGUGUUGCCCUUUAACUCACUCUCCCUGGGGCACACACACAGCUUAUAGUAUUUGUCUUCUGCUGUUGUCUAUCCAUCAAGCUACGUAUGAAAUUCUAUAUGCUUGUUUAAAGGUUAUUGUUUAACCCUAAAUGGAACUAAUAAUCAUACAGUACUAUUAGUAUAUAUGACCAUUAAUUCAGCUGUUCUUUUGUAAAAAUGACAACACAACUAAAAGAGCGUUAAUAGGAUAAGGUAUACAUUGUAUUCUACUAUCUCAAACUCAAAAUAUGUCGUAAUGGUUUCAUGUUAUGCAUAAAAUGCAUAACCUGUCUGUUCAUAAACAUUCACGUGGAUCACUUCAUACGCUAUGUACUGUACGUGAAAUCUAGCCACCUUAUAAACGUACACCCUCCGUUCAUGCGCAGAAAAUAUCGGUCCCAUAGUCAAAACAAUACAUGUAUAUUUUUUUUAUAAACGCACACCCUACACUAACAGACAUUUUCUUGGUCCAAAGGGUGUGCAUUUAGGUAGAUUAAGCGUUUGUUUGUUGUUUCCAAACACCUCCACCUAAUGAUUUGCAGGAACACAAAAACAACUUGAUGAUGGAUGCUUUUCCAUUAUGUAACAUUUGGCCUUAUAAUUAUUAAGUUUUAUCUACUAAAUUUAUACAUCCACGGGUUGUAGUUUCAUCUGAAUCCCUCUGUGAGUGCAUCUUCUGCGUAUAAGUGUAGGGUGAAUUGUAAACUUUUAAACAUAUAUGUAUUCUUGUGCCGUUUGCAUGAUCUACGCUUCCUUAUAGAGGAGUUAUCACCAUGAAUUGUAAUAUUUAGACAUAUUCAUGUGCUGUAUUCUUUAAAACAACUCAAAGGUAUGCUCAUAUGAUUGAUGCUUAACGAAGAUCUAUAUAAUUGCUCUCUGCGACUAACUGAAUUAUUUAAUUGAAAGGUUGUGCAGAAGAUAUGGUGUUGACAAAGAGCAUACAUCAGGUACAUAAAUAUCUAUUGUUUAAGGUUAUUUAUUACCUGAUUGACAUGGUUACGUUCUUGAAUGUAUCAUUGUAUCAAUAUGUAGUUUUGAAGAACUUCUUCCAUAUGAAUUGAUCAGUUAACUUGGAUUUAAUAUAUGUAAUGGAGGAUAAAAUAUAAGAUUGAAGAAUUAAUGAAGAUCGGGGGCGCCUGAACCCCCGUACUUUAUUCAAAGAAAUAAUAAUAAAGUCUAUUAUAGAUUAUGACUGAGUGAAUUCAAUUUACUUUGGCUGUCUGCUUCAUAGUAAAUGACAACAAUGACUCCGAAUUGCUCUUAGUAAAUGGUAAUAUUUUCUUUGACCUUCGUGAAGUUCAUUUAUACGAACUACUCUUUCACGACAAGAAAAUAUUUCAUUUCAAGGUAUUUGAAUUAUCAUCAGGAAAAAUAGCUUGUGCAGAGUGAUCAGAAUAUUUAAAUGCUUCUGUUAUUUACACUAUGCUUGACUAUUUUUGAAAGAUUGUAUGUGUAUAUGGAUUUUCAUGCGCCUGUAACCCCUUUAGAUAUAGAAUACUGUGGUCUCCAUUCUGAGUGUUAAUGUUUUGCUGCUACUAAUAAUUUUCAAUGUAUUAAAAAUGAAAAUAUAUAGGAGUAAAAAGGAAUACUACAUGCAUAACAUUAUGCAUAACUUGUAUGAAUGAUUCUCUUAAUGGAAUAAUUACAAUUCAUCUUUAUUUACACUAACCUUGUAGCACUUGGGAGUAUUCAUAAAUUCAUGUGGGAAACCAAGAUUUAACACUUUAAUUCAACAAUGAAGAUAAGAUAUACAUAUAGACAUUAAUAUCAUUUUUAUAAGCUAAUACACACUUGACGCGAAAUGAAGAUGGUGUAGUGAUACCUAAAGAUAAGAUAUAAAUAUAGUUGCAAUAUUGCAAGCUAACACAAACUUCAUACAAAACAGAAUGAUUUAUUGUACUACAUAAUCAAUUCUAGAAUAGUUUCACAUCAUUCUAGGAAUCCCAAGGUUUUCCAGAAUUGAUUGAUGCCACAAAUUGAGAAGGGAAACGAACAUCCGAUGUGGUUAAGAAAAUUGAGCUACUUAUAGGGUCUUGAAGAUUACCUAUUGAUGGAUUGCCAUGGUAGCUUGAGUGCAGUUUAGAGAGAUCGAGUACACCCCAGUUUUCUGGGAAAUUAGGUAGAUUGUUGUUGCUGAAACUUACGCCUUGCGAUGUUGCAAAGUUGUUUUGAUUGUUGAAUCCAUAAGAUGGGCCACAAACAGUACUGUUAAUCAUCAAGAAAGACCUGUUAGGACCUUGAUGCUUUGGGGAAUGAGAAGCAGGUACUUCAAGCUCAGCCAAUACCUCGGACGAUGAUUUCAUGGCAUUACUGUGAAACCGAUUUGAUGUAUCAACCCUUUCAAAAGAACUCAAACACUUCAAUUGGUUCAAAUUAUGGGGGCUUACUUGCUCAGCAGGGAACUUUUUUGAUUUGUCCAAUCUGCUCAUCUUCUCAAGUGUCCUCUCUCUUGCUCUUGCUCUUGCCUUCACCCUUGAGUCUUUUGCAAGGAUAUGACAUGUAGUUCUGCUCAACAUUUUAGUUGUCGUUUUCUCUCUCAAAACAAUGCCAUCUAUAGAUUGCUUCUCAUCAACUUUAGUUAAGCCUUUCUGCCUCUCAUCAAUUUCUGACACUACAUCACAUUCAGAAGUAGAAGAUACUGUGCUUUUGGUUUCACCAGUGCACCCUUUACGGAGCUCAUUAAUUGCUUCUUCUGACUUCCCCAGCAACCAUUCAACAGUUUUACUUGCCUUAUCAAAACCAAGGAUGUCUUGCAGAUCAAAGAACUUGCGAGCGAUUUCAAGGGAGAGUCUCAUUCUCCUGUCCCUAGUGCCUUGAGCAGUAACUAUCUUGCUAUGACGAUCUUUCUUGCCAGAUCUCUUCUUUAGGAUUCUUCCACUCAUGCCAUUAACCUUCUUGAAAGACCCAGCAUUAAUAUUGUUGAUGGUGUUUGAAACUGCCUUGUUAAUCAUGGUUUCUUCAACACUUCUUGAAAGUUUCAGUUUUUCCAGUGAUUGUUGUUGUUGAGACAAGAACUGGUAAAGACGGUCCUCAUGAAAAGUUGGAGAAAACUGGAAAAACAGAUUAUUCUCAACAGCAAAUUCAUUUGAAGUGAACAUUUGUGGCUUGGAAUUGCACCGGACAACCCUAAUGUUUAUUUCGUUGUCAGUCUGUCCUUAUGAAUUCUCUUCAUGGACGUGGCAUACUAGUCUCCAUGGGAAUAGUGUACCUAUGAGAGGGAAAGAAAGAAAGAAAGAGAGGCAGGAUGGUUUGUGUCAUUGUUAAGAAAGUGAGGCUAUGCAAUAUAAGAAUGGUCAUAGUUAAGAAAAUAAAAGUCACAUUUAGUUGGAUACAAACAGCUUCCUUUCUCAAUUUUUUCCCCCUUUUGAAAGAUAGCAAGAGAGUGAGUGACAGGGAAAAGAGAGAGACAUCUGUAGUGAUGAAUGUGAGUGGAUAUGGAACAUAUAGUACAGUGACACAUCACGUGGGAGCAGAAGCAACAAGAUUGGAAAAGAAUCCUCCAACUUUUAAACCCGUUAGUGAGAUGUGGAGGAGGGUAAAUUAGAAGACCUUUUCUUGCAUGAUUUCCGGAAAACACAGAAAGGGAUACAGCCAAGUGCACUUAUUACAUUACAGAAUCAUUUAGAUAUGAUCCUUCAUAUCUGUUGUUGCUAAUUUGAUAUAGACUGACAAACAGAGAGAAAUUGUGUGUGUAUGCGUGUGGAUCUGAUGGUUAUUGAAAAGGCAACCUGGAGGAGUUGUGUACUGUCAAAUUACCGAUUGUUGUCAAAAUUGAUAUUUCCUAUGCUUAUACUUACCUAAUUAGACCAUUAGAGAUCUGAUGAUCCACAUACGAAAUCAAGAAUCGUGUAUGUAUUAGAGACUCUAUAAUCUUAUUUGUGGAGGAUUUAGGCUGGUUAUGAAUCGGUUCUGGAUCUAGCAUUUGAUAACUAUUUUUUCUUUUCCGAUGCAGUUUUUUAGUUUGGUCUAUGGAAAAUUCACUAAAUGCAUUGCCAACCCACUUGCACGAGGGAGAUAUUCACCUUAGAAACUAUAGCAUGGAGAGAGAACAGCUGCAUCAGAGCGCCUAACAUCAGAGCGAGAAACUCCUAAUAUGCAAACAUGGCAGGGCACUGUAUGUACCAGGAGGAUUGAAUUUCUUAUUAAGUUUUAAGGUAAUUCUCAGGUAAUGCACAACAACUGUGUGGUAUAUAAUUCAUGAAGAUUCAAAUCUUCAUUAAAUCCAACGGCUCUAUGUGCGACAUGCGGAACGCUUGAGGACAUAUAUAAAAAUUCAACAAAGAAUUGUACUGUACUACUGUGGGGCUUAGGGUUUCUCACUGAGAAGAGCUUAUCCCCAAAACCUUAUAGCACUAUUAAACAUGGUGCUCACACGUGGCCAUAUCUAUAAACCCUAAGAGAUAGAGAGGACAAUUAUUUUUGGAAAGGCAUAUAUGGAUGAGGCCAUCAAUUGUAAUGAAGGACAGUGCUCUUUUGACUCCAACUGCACAAAAUGUCCCUUUCACUAAAAAGCAAAACUCCAUGUUUAAACACACAUCUCAUCUAUAUCUCUCUAUACCCUAUUUAUCUUUGGCUUUAUUAUUUUCUGUCCUAACCCUUUGAGGGUUGUUACUCCAUCUAGUCUACUGGAUAUAUUGUUGUAGACAGAGAAGUUGAUGUCAUUUUCAUGGACAGGUAGGCGUAGAAGAGAAGGUAAAUGCACCAUAUUAAGGUGGGUGACAAUGAGAGCAUGUAACCUAAUGUUCUUUUCAUUUCCCUUAAAAACCCUAAAAUUUCUCUUUUUAUUUAGUAAUGUCUAUUUGUGGUUCAAAGAUCAAUUUGUCCUACCAACUUGUAGAAUACUAGUCUUAAAACAAGUGCUGCUAUUAGAGUGCACUGUUGUCUUGGGUUAGAUUCUUUAAUUAUUAUUUGAUUUACAUGGUACUGUUUCUUGUUAGGGUUUCAAUCUCAAUCAAUUUCAAUAUGAUUAUGCUGGGGUUUAGGCAAAGUUGCAGACCCCUCCAGAUCUAUUGAUCUGAAAAAAGUAUUAUCAGAUGAGAUCCCAAAUGAGCUUCUUUUUUUUUGUUCCAACAUUACCCCUUGUUACUGGUUUUUUAGUCUACUGUACUCUUUCUUUAUAUUAGUAAGACAUGGAAGUGGUCUGUAUCUUGAGGUAAUUGGAUCUUGGAUGAGUGGAUCUGUGGAUGAAGAGGUAGGAUUCCUUCAAGCUAAGAGGCUAAAAAGGCUGAUUAUCUCUUAAAUACUCAUAUUGAUUUUUCAGACAUACAGUAUUAAUGUGAUUAAGUAAAACUUAGGGUUUUUUGGGUUUUCUUGAAGGUGGCUGUAUAAGCAAUUCAGCUGGGGUUUCACACCUGUUUAUGUGCUGUUGAUUGUCAAGCUUGCAUUACCUUUUCAACUUUUCCUUUAGAUUUAUUCAAGUUCUGUAGUAGUUUUGUGACUUUUGUCUGUCUAGUUAACAGGAUUGAAAGUUUACUUAACUAGCCAUUCUUGUUUUAUUUUUGUCAAAACUAAACAAAUAUAAAACCAAAGAUAAAUUAAAUAAAAUGGAAUAUCAAGGUUUUGUUUAUGUUGUUAUCGACUCUUUCCUUCGCACAAUGUGGUGACUGGUGAGUACUUGUUCUCUAUAACAUUUGCUUUGGCC
rnacentral:lncRNA from 1 species